rfam:Brachypodium distachyon strain Bd21 chromosome 2, whole genome shotgun sequence.
AUGGUACUCCCUCCGUCCAAUAAAGGAUGUCUCAAUUUUGAUUAAAUUUGAAUGCAUCUAUGCGCUAUGUCAUGUUUAGAUACAUCCAAAAUUUGACAAAUUUGAGACAUCUUUUGUUGGACGGAGGGAGUAUUAA